rnacentral:lncRNA from 1 species
UGUUUCAAUUGGUGGGGGAAUCGGAAGCAUCUCAGACAUUUUAAAUGCAUGACUGCUGAUUGCUGAAAAUGUUCGUACCCACAGUCACUACAAUUUGUUUUAUUCUCAUUCUUUUCCUUUUCGUUGAUGAAGAUAAGAUCGAUGGUCUAUCAUGCAUGCAUGUAGGAGCAGAUUUCCUAAACUGUUGGGCUAAUAUUGUUAGUUCAGAUUUGGAGACCCAUAUUGUUUGCUCACAGCGAUGUCUAGAACAUUAUUGUAUCUAGCAGAUAUUAAUAAUUUUAUCUCCAGAGUAAAGCCAUAUAUACAAGAUGGCUAUGCUUAUUAAACAUUAUUUGAUGAAUUUAUUAGGAAAUAUGCAGUUAUGGAUCCAUUCUAUAGUUGGAAUAUGAGACUCCAUAUGUGUGUGUAUGUUUAUUCUUGCUUGAAUCUCGUGCUGAAGGUGUGAACAGGUGAGUCCUGCUUACAAGUUCGUCUAAAGAAUUUUCAUGUUAUAAAGCCAUUGAUACAUUUAUCCCUCCACCUUCUAUAUCUAUUUAUCGUCAAUUAGUGCAAUAGUGGUCUCUGGUGUAUUACCCAUUCCACACUAGCUUGUGUCCUUUUCGUUUUGGGGGUUAUUUGCAGCGGAAACUAUUGUUUGUGCUUGCCACUCAUUAAAUCGUCUUUGAAAAUCUAACGAGCGGAAGCAGAAUAGCUCAUUUUAUACCAUUGGUUGCAGUUUUACAUCCACAUUGCCAAUUUGUAUUUUUUUAAGCACAAGCAAUAGUUAUGUGCAUCAAUCGCAUAUUCUUCUGAUAAUACUAAAUUCAAUAUGCGGAUCAAUCUUUAUAUAUGUAUAAGAAACCAAUUGGUGAUCCUUUGUACAUGGAAUAAUCAGGGUCCGAUUCACUUGGAUGUACCUCAAUUUGCUGUUAUAUGAUUUACUGUUUUAGGUUGUAGUAUUAGCACAAAAAGUCAUAAUACUAAAUUCAAUAUGCGGAUCAAUCUUUAUAUAUGUAUAAGAAACCAAUUGGUGAUCCUUUGUAUAUAGAAUAAUCAGGGUCCGAUUCACUUGGAUGUACCUCAAUUUGCUGUUAUAUGAUUUACUGUUUUAGGUUGUAAUGUUAGCACAAAAAGUCAUAAUAGGGAAUUAACGAGUAACAGUUGACUCAGAUAGUGUUUGAGUAUGUUUCUCCUAAAGCUAAUUGAUUUUAUUAAGCAUUCAUAAGUUCUUAGAAAUUCAGAUAGCCAUUUUCUCUAGGCUGCAAUAUGUGUGGAGCAGUUGAUGCUCAAUAUUUUCUGGAUAUUACAUGAACUCUGAAAUACAUUUUUUUCUCUCUUAGGUUUUAACCUUUGGGUGGGGGUACUUUUGUAACAUGGAAUAGUGAUGAAAAUCAUUUCUAGAAUUUAUAAUGAGCAGUUAUGUUCUAACUUUCUCUGGCUGUAGAAUUACUGGAGAUGGGUUAGUAGUUUUACCCUUUCAAUUAGCAUGAAUUUAUAUAGAAGGUUGGUUUUGAACUAAAUUGAUGCCCUCUUGUUCACUGAUUACCUAUGAACUGAAAUGAUGUCCGGCUAUAGUACAUUAGUCUUUCAUAUGUUGGUUGUGCAUACAUGGCCUUAGCUUAUCCUUCUCUACUUUCAUUUCACUAAAAAUGGAAAUAUCGCCUGAAACUUUUAUGCAUGUCACUGCUACCUUUGAUCUUUGGUUCCUUGAUAUAUCUUGUUCAGCAUGCCUUCAAAGGUUAUCAUAAACUAUAACUAUCUAACAUGCAUUGUACUAUGACCUGAUGAUGUAGCAAUUUGCAACGUCGUGGCAAGGUUCAGUUCGGCAAGGAGACCAAUGAGGCAGCUACUUGUACAAUGUCCAAGCCGAUUGUACUCUGACCUGUCAAACAAGAAGACUCGAUGCAACUAGCUGCUGAAAAGGAGAUGAAUGUGGUCCUGUUGACAACCAAGACAAAGAAGCAGGAGACCAAGCCUUCUGCGUUCCCCAUUGGCAUGCACAAGGAGUUCCGCAAGAUGGACAAUGUUGUCCAGAAUUAGGUCACUAGCAGCUACUACAUGACCAACUUGACCAAGCCCACUCUUCCAAGACUAUCAAUUUACCGCAACCUCCAAGUUACGGCGACGCAUGGGCGGGGCAGCCACCCCCUAGAUCCCGUUAGCACAAUGUCAUAAAAAUAUAUUUAUACUGAUUGUUGCGCAAAGUAGAAGGCAAUUGUUUGUAGUUAUUAGUUUAUUUCCUCUAUAUACAAUGACACGG